GGGACAACCCGCCGAAAGGCGGGCUAAACCCGCGUACAUGCCACCGGGGCAUCCCGGAGGCAGGAAAGGCUUCGGCCGGACAGGGAUGGGCAUGCGGCGCAUUAGGCAGUAGGCGGGGUAACGGCCCACCUAACCGACGAUGCGUAGGGGUUCUGAGAGGAAGGUCCCCCACACUGGUACUGAGACACGGACCAGACUCCUACGGGAGGCAGCAGUGAGGAAUAUUGGUCAAUGGUCGGGAGACUGAACCAGCCAAGCCGCGUGAGGGAUGAAGGUACAGAGUAUCGUAAACCUCUUUUGUCAGGAAACAAAGGCGGGGACGUGUCCCCGGAUGAGUGUACCUGAAGAAAAAGCAUCGGCUAACUCCGUGCCAGCAGCCGCGGUAAUACGGAGGAUGCGAGCGUUAUCCGGAUUUAUUGGGUUUAAAGGGUGCGCAGGCGGUCUGUUAAGUCAGCGGUCAAAGCCCGGGGCUCAACCCCGGCCCGCCGUUGAAACUGGCAGUCUCGAGUUGGAGAGAAGUAUGCGGAAUGCGCGGUGUAGCGGUGAAAUGCAUAGAUAUCGCGCAGAACUCCGAUUGCGAAGGCAGCAUGCCGGCUCCACACUGACGCUGAGGCACGAAAGCGUGGGUAUCGAACAGGAUUAGAUACCCUGGUAGUCCACGCAGUAAAC
rnacentral:rRNA from 1 species